ACGACGCCGCCAGCUGAUCGGAGCCUGGAGCCGGUGUGUGCUGGGUGCCGAGAAGAGACAGCGCCGCCGGCCGUGGGGAGCGGACGCAGUGAUUUGCUCCCCCUCGUGCAGCAACCCCCACACCCAGCACCAGGCCCCCAGAACUCUCCUUCCAGCUGAACUCCCUGGGAACAAGUCAGUUGGGCUGAUCACUGAACUCACAUUUCUGGACCUGAGGAGCCUGUUCCUCUCACGCCCUCACCUGGCUGAGCCGCAGUAGUUCUUCAGUGGCAAGCUUUAUGUCCUGACCCAGCUAAAGCUGCCAGUUGAAGAACUGUUGCCCUCUGCCCCUGGCUUCGAGGAGGAGGAGGAGCUGCUUUCCCCAUCAUCUGGAAGGUGACAGAAAUGGGCUGGGAAGGUCCGAACAGCAGGGUGGAUGAUACGUUUUGGGCAAGUUGGAGAGCCUUUGCCCAGAUUGGCCCAGCAAGGAGCGGUUUUAGAUUAGAGACACUGGCUGGAUUGAGGAGUAGAAGGCUCAAACAACCCAAGGAAGCUGUGUCUGUUCGAUUUGGUGGGAGGAGAUGUGCAGGGAGCUGUAUCUUGUCCUCCGCUUGUGAAAAACUCAAGGAUGUGGAGAAGAGUAGACCGUGGAACCCUGCUCUUCUGCAGCCAAGCUGAGGGGCAGGAUGCGUGUGGGACAGUGGUAGAGAAGCAGGGGAUAGACUCAUAGGCUGCAACAAAGGUGACUCUGUCCCUGGACACUGCCUCCGUACUUUCUCCUUGCUUCACUGGCCACAGCAUCUCCCUCCAGCCCUCGCUAUGUGCCUCUGCCAUCUUCACCCAUCAUGGAGCAGAGGUGAGGAGAGGCAGCCUGGGAAUAUGGAGACCAGUGAAGGACCAGGCCUGGAGAGCACAGGGUCCUACCUGGGCAUCCAGCAGAGGAGCCCCUAAAGGCCAGGAGCACCCCAAGAGGAGGGAGGGCAGCCAGCCUCCAUUGACGGCGAGCCUCCAGCCCUCUCCUACUUUGAUCACCAUUUCUCUCCAGGCUUUCUGCCUCCGAGAUGUGGCACCAUAGUGCGGUGCCCUGUGGCUUCACCGCCCUACUUCCACCUCCGCCCAGCCUGUAAUGUUUAUAUAAGCAGCCUCAAGGACCAAGAACCAUCUGCGAAAGGACACACACAGGAAAUUCAUAAAAGAAAUCUGAAUGGAUAAAACCAUGAAAAAAAGUAUGCUUCAUUAGUAAUUAAAGAAAGGCAAAUAGAGCUGGAAGCAUUUUUCCCUUAGCAAACCAUAACAGAAAAAAAUAAGACCCAAUAUUGGCAAAGAGACUACUGAAAAAACAUUCCCAUACAUUGCGUGUGGGAGUAUACAUCGGUGCAGGCUUCCUGGAUGACAGUUGGGUGAUAUGUGUCAUGUGGCCUAAAAGCCUCCAUGUCAUUUGACCUACGAAUUCUAUCUUUGGGAAUUUAUCCUAAGAAAAUACUUAAGGAUUUAGUUAGUGAUAAGAUGUUCAUCCCAGCAUUGCAAUGGAGAAAAAUGGGAAGCAAUGGUUUGGUUGGGAAUUUAUUCCUUUUCUGCUGUAACGAAAGUUUGCAAUAGGGGAUUGCUUAAGUAAAUUAUUGUAUCUCCAUCCAGAUGGUGGAGUACCGCGCAGACAUUAAAAGUCAUGUAAAAGAACAUCUGACUGAAAGAAAAAUGCUCCUUGAAUAUUAAAAGGUUGUAAAAAUAGUGCAUGUUAUGUGAUUUCAAUUUUGUUUUUUAAAAUAUGGGUGUAUGCUUGUAUACGUAGAGCAGAUAAAAAAGACGGAAGGCAUACUAAAAAAUGUUGAGUGGUUAUCUUUGUAUGGUGGAACAAAGUCACUGUAAUUUUCAUCUUUGGUUUUUCUGUAAUUUCCAAAUUUUCCACAUUUUGUAUUUCAUAUAAUAUAAUUUAAGAGA
rnacentral:lncRNA from 1 species